rnacentral:rRNA from 1 species
CUUGGUCAUUUAGAGGAAGUAAAAGUCGUAACAAGGUUUCCGUAGGUGAACCUGCGGAAGGAUCAUUAUUGAAUGAAACUUCUGGCUGGAUGCUGUUUUGCUGGCCCUUCGGGGGUAAUGUGCACGCCUCUGGUCAUUUGUUUCUUGUUCCACCUGUGCACUGCCUUGUAGGCACACACUGUGUCUAUGAUUAUGUUUAUAUGCACCCUUUAUAUAUAUGCAUGUUCUUUUGGUUUGUAUAAAAUGAGAAUGUUUUACAACUUUCAACAACGGAUCUCUUGGCUCUCGCAUCGAUGAAGAACGCAGCGAAAUGUGAUAAGUAAUGUGAAUUGCAGAAUCCAGUGAAUCAUCGAAUCUUUGAACGCAUCUUGCGCUCCUCGGUAUUCUGAGGAGCAUGCCUGUUUGAGUGUCAACUAAACUAUCAAAACACAACUCUUGAUUGGUGAUGUGUUUUUGGACUUUGGGACUAUUGCUGGCUGUGUCCAGCUGUCCUCAAAAGCAUUCAUUAGCUUUGGAGAUGCAACAGUGUGAUAAAGUUGUCUCUGCUGGUACUUGCAUCUCUUUGCUUCUAGAAGAUUUUUAUGAUGCUUUGACCUCAAAUCAGGUAGGAUUACCCGCUGAACUUAAGCAUAUCAAUAAGCGGAGGA